rnacentral:rRNA from 1 species
UACGGAGGGGGCAAGCGUUGUUCGGAAUUACUGGGCGUAAAGGGCUUGUAGGCGGCCAAUUAAGUCAUAUGUGAAAUCCCUCGGCUUAACCGGGGAACUGCGUCUGAUACUGGAUGGCUUGAGUUUGGGAGAGGGAUGCGGAAUUCCAGGUGUAGCGGUGAAAUGCGUAGAGAUUCGGAGGAACACCAGUGGCGAAGGCGGCUUUCUGGCCUGAUUCUGACGCUGAGAAGCGAAAGCCAGGGGAGCGAACGGG